GAUGAACGCUGGCGGCGUGCCUAAUACAUGCAAGUCGAGCGAACGGACGAGAAGCUUGCUUCUCUGAUGUUAGCGGCGGACGUGUGAGUAACACGUGGAUAACCUCCCUAUAAGACUGUGAUAACUUCGGUAACCCGGAGCUAAUACCAGAUAAUAUUUUGAACCGCAUGGUUCAAAAGUUAAAGCCGUUCUUGCUGUCACUUAUAGAUGGAUCCGCGCUGCAUUAGCUAGUUGGUAAGGUAACGGCUUACCAAGGCAACGAUGCAUAGCCGACCUGAGAGGGUGAUCGGCCACACUGGAACUGAGACACGGCCCAGACUCCUACGGGAGGCAGCAGUAGGGAAUCUUGCGCAAAGGGCGAAAGCCUGAUGGAGCAACGCCGCGUGAGUGAUGAAGGUCUUCGGAUCGUAAAACGCUGUUAUUAGGGAAGAAAAGAUGUGGAAGUAAAUGUGCAGAUAUUGACGGUACCGAAUCAGAAAGCAACGGCUAACUACGUG
rnacentral:rRNA from 1 species